rnacentral:sRNA from 1 species
GGGCAGUACUCAGACAAGGACUCUUAGGACACCCCCCACAGGCACCUGUGCUCUCCUGAGCAGCUUAUUUCAAAAAACUCAGAAAAAAGGGAAGAUAUCUCAUGACAAAAGGAAGAAAUCAAGAAGUAAAGCCGUAGGCUCAGCAGAAAUAGGAGAACCAGCGAGACAGCAGUUAGAGUGAAAGUGUAUGUAGGGGUUUGCGAGACUGUGCACAGGGAUGAGAAAUACUUCCGACAUUGUGCAUGUUUGGUGUCCAGAAGGAAUGAAAACCAGUGACAUCAAGGAGUUGAAUAUUGUUUUGCCUGAAUUUGAGAAAACCCACCUAGAGCAAAAACAAAGAAUAGAAUCUAAAGUUUGUAAGGCAGCCAUCGACACAUUUUAUUUUAAUGUUAAAGAACAACUCACCAAAAUGCUUAAAGAAAGCGAGAUGUUGAAAAAUCUGAAAAGGAAGAAUGCUAAGGUGAAGAAACUCAGCCACUGAGUUUGCCCCAAGUCACACAUUUUCAUCCAGGCACUGACAGUCUUCCACUGGUUUUAUUAGACUUUGGAAAGUGGACAAGAUUUGAUAAGAGGA